rnacentral:rRNA from 1 species
UACGUAGGGGGCAAGCGUUAUCCGGAUUUACUGGGUGUAAAGGGAGCGUAGGUGGCAAAGUAAGUCAGAUGUGAAAGCCCGUGGCUUAACUGCGGGAUUGCAUCAGAAACUGCUUUGCUAGAGUGCAGGAGAGGUAAGUGGAAUUCCUAGUGUAGCGGUGAAAUGCGUAGAUAUCAGGAAGAACACCAGUGGCGAAGGCGGCUUUCUGGACUGUAACUGACGCUGAGGCACGAAAGCUGGGGGAGCGAACAGGAUUAGAUA